AUUGAACGCUGGCGGCAGGCCUAACACAUGCAAGUCGAACGAGCGGCGGACGGGUGAGUAAUGUAUGGGGAUCUGCCCGAUGGAGGGGGAUAACUACUGGAAACGGUGGCUAAUACCGCAUACUAUCGGAUGUGCCCAUAUGGGAUUAGCUAGUGGGUGGGGUAAUGGCUCACCUAGGCGACGAUCCCUAGCUGGUCUGAGAGGAUGACCAGCCACACGGGAACUGAGACACGGUCCAGACUCCUACGGGAGGCAGCAGUGGGGAAUAUUUCACAAUGGGCGCAAGCCUGCUGCAGCCAUGCCGCUUGUAUGAAGAAGGCCUUAGGUUUGUAAAGUACUUUCAGUGGGGAGGCGUUACCGACAGAAGAAGCACCGGCUAACUCCGUGCCAGCAGCCGCGGUAAUAC
rnacentral:rRNA from 1 species